GAAAUGUAUAAAAAACGUUGAGUCAUAUCGCGAAUUCUUCGAACAAUUUGUAUAGAGGAUAAAUUCAACGUAUCUGGAUUUUUGAAGAGUAUGGUACCCAUCGAAUCCUUGUUUCAUUACGAGUUCAACGAGGUACGUCUCGCCUCUC